ensembl:lncRNA
CGUCAUUGCCCCGCCCCCACCCCGCAGUGCUCUGGCAGGGGAGGGUCGUGCCUUGUCUCCAUGGCGAUGCAGGCUCUCUUGCUGGCCAGUUUCCGGGAUGCAGCACCCAGAUCUGCAGAAAUGAAAUUUCCCCACGGCUCUCCACACCUCAUCCAGUGUUAAUGAAAUAACGGGGCACACCAGAGCACAGCUGUGAAGCUCACAGCCGUGGAUGGGCUGUCUGUGCUGCAAGCGGAGGCAGUGAAGAAAGGUUGGGGAGCUGCAAAAAAUGUCUGCACAGAUUUGCUCCACUUACUAAAUGUGCAUGCUUUGGGCAUAUCCUGCAUGCCUGGACAGACAGCAUCUGAGUGGCCUGAAUGCACUUAGAAAACCCAAGUCUGCAUCGCUUAUGUGAGUGUAGAUGCAGAGAUGUCUGCGUUACGCUGCUUUGGAGGAGCAACGCGUCCGACUGGAUACGGGAUGUGGCGUGGGCCCAUGUUGUCUGCUGCCUUCCACCAACAAAUAUCUUGGUCUAAAUACAAAGACUUGCAGGACUGAAAGAUUUCUUUCUGUAGAUUUGUCUGAUUUUGUUCCUAAACCAUGCAGCAUUUGCAGCAGCCCAUGGAAG